UACGGGGGGAGCAAGCGUUGUUCGGAUUUACUGGGCGUAAAGGGCGCGUAGGCGGUCAGCACAAGUCAGUUGUGAAAUCUCCGGGCUUAACUCGGAAAGGUCAACUGAUACUGUGCGACUAGAGUGCGGAAGGGGCAACUGGAAUUCUCGGUGUAGCGGUGAAAUGCGUAGAUAUCGAGAGGAACACCGUGCGGCGAAGGCGGGUUGCUGGGCCGACACUGACGCUG
rnacentral:rRNA from 1 species